UCACAAGUUCAAGGCCAUAGCAGAAGCACUCAUGGUGCAGCCUGUCAGAUCUAACAAAUCUGUGAAUUCUGCU
rnacentral:lncRNA from 1 species